rnacentral:rRNA from 1 species
AUUGAACGCUGGCGGCAGGCCUAACACAUGCAAGUCGAACGAGUGGCGGACGGGUGAGUAAUGUCUGGGAAACUGCCUGAUGGAGGGGGAUAACUACUGGAAACGGUAGCUAAUACCGCAUACCAUCAGAUGUGCCCCGAUGUGAUUAGCUAGUUGGUGGGGUAACGGCUCACCAACGCGACACUCCCUAGCUGGUAUGAGAGGAUGACCAGCCACGAUGGAACUGAGACACAGUCCAGCCUCCUACGUAAGGCAGCAGUUGGGAAUAGUGCACAAUGGGCGCAACCCUGAUGCAGCCAUGCCGCGUGUAUGAAGAAGGCCUUCGGGUUGUAAAGUACUUUCAGCGGGGAGGCGUUACCCGCAGAAGAAGCACCGGCUAACUCCGUGCCAGCCGCCGCGGUAAUUC